rnacentral:rRNA from 1 species
GACGAACGCUGGCGGCAUGCCUAAUACAUGCAAGUCGAGCGGAGUUGAUGGAAAGCUUGCUUUCCUGAUACUUAGCGGCGGACGGGUGAGUAACACGUAGGCAACCUGCCCUCAAGCUUGGGACAACUACCGGAAACGGUAGCUAAUACCGAAUACUUGUUUUCUUCGCCUGAAGAGAACUGGAAGGACGGAGCAAUCUGUCACUUGGGGAUGGGCCUGCGGCGCAUUAGCUAGUUGGUGAGGUAACGGCUCACCAAGGCGACGAUGCGUAGCGGACCUGAGAGGGUGAUCGGCCACACUGGGACUGAGACACGGCCCAGACUCCUACGGGAGGCAGCAGUAGGGAAUCUUCCGCAAUGGGCGAAAGCCUGACGGAGCAAUGCCGCGUGAGUGAUGAAGGUUUUCGGAUCGUAAAGCUCUGUUGCCAGGGAAGAACGCUUGGGAGAGUAACUGCUCCCAAGGUGACGGUACCUGAGAAGAAAGCCCCGGCUAACUACGUGCCAGCCGCCGCCGUAA